UUACUUUAAGAAAGCAGACUGAGGAAGCCAUAAAGGACAAGUCAGUAAGCAGUCUUUCUCUUACUUCAGUUAAGUAAGUCUGCUUUCAGGGUCACGCCCUGCUUGAUUCCCUGCUUUGGCUUCCCUUCAUGACAGCCUGCAAGCUGUAAAAUGGAAUAAACUCUUUUCUUUCCCAAGGUGCUUUGGGUCAUGGUGUUUAUCACAGCAAUAAAAAACAAACUAGGACGUAACCCAAAUAGAUCUGUUUCUUCUCGGUUGCAAUAAGAUAAGCCAAGGGCUAGGGCUCAUCCGCUGUUGGCUGCACGAAACAGAACGACCGUUUCUCGCUUAGAAGCCAUAGGCUGAUGCUCUGGGAUCCAUUUCACAGCUUUUCACAUGGGUUUCUCUCAGUCACGCGUUUGCAAUCUGCAGUGCCUCCCAGUUGGAGUUCUUUCUGAUGACAUUGUAGGACGGGGAUAUUUCAUCACAAUAUUCUGUUGGACAAUAAGAUGUUCGAGUUCCCUGCAGACCGAGGAGGAAAACCUGUCGGCAUUAUGGAGGGACAAGCGGGAAGCUUUGAGCAGACACUGGUUCACCGGCAACACUUUGAGGACCACUGCACUAUUCUAGACCUUAACAUGACAGAGAUCAGACAUGACUUGGAUAAAAGACAGUAAGGCUGUGACCGCUGAAACUCCGGGGCAAAGUUUUGGAGACAGUUUUUCAGAGAACCUAGAGCUUACCAACUCAGAAAGGCUGACCAAUGAACUUCGGCGAUCCAAACGGGCCUCCAUGUUUGCACAGCAGGUAAUUUAAAUGGCUGAGUCAUGUUUCCAGAUCCCCAACUCUUAGUUUCUACCAUCUCUUAAUGACAUCAUCAAAUUAUAACUCUAUUACUGGAUUAAUGCAUUAAUAAUGUUAGAACCUUCAUGGUGACUCAUUCCCUCAGAGCCCAUCAGUAUGCCACCAAGUCUAUCACACACAUGCGCGUGCACACACACACACACACACACACACACACACACACACACACACUUUGGAGACAUUUCAAAUUCACAAUAUUCCAGAGUUUAUAUUCCAGCACUCUACCAAGGUACCUUUCCCGAAGGACAUGGUUGGAAGGACAUGACCACACAUGGGUCUACUAAGGGAGGCUUUCAACACUAUAAAGUGUGAGUCUUUGAACACAAAUAUGCAGAAAAAAACCACAGUUAAGCCUCUCAUACCAUCUUCUGAUAAACUGGCUACAGUAGUCCUCAAAGCACACAUGGUAUGUUUUAUCUAUUGAUGCAGAAAAAGAAGACACCAUUUGUUCUUUCAUUGAGUGUUAGAGCCUACAUGGUCCACUGAACUCAGUGGAUAGCUGUAUUUGCCGUUAAGUGUGGUGCAGCUUUGUGAGGAGAAAUGAAUCUCUGUGGCGCAAAUCAGAGUCACGUGCAAUGGUAAUAUAGCUAUCGCUGCCAGGUAAACACAUCCUGCAUGAGUUCGUGAAUUUCUAUAUUUUAGGUCAGGUGUCUCUGCUACAAUUAUUUAUACCAAAACUUGUGCUGGGAGGCAGAGCAUGGGCAGUGGUGUUUGGGCUAUGGGGAGCUUUCACGAACUUGUCCAUGUGUUUCUUCUUGGCUAGUAGGUUUUCUCUCUUCCUUCCCAUCUUCCUGCUUGCCUUUAUACUUUCCACCCCGGGAGAAGAAACAGCACUGCUCAGGGAGAGAACUGUCUCUGCUUUCUAGCUGCCCUGAGGUGAGCCACUGCACCACCCUGAGCUGCUCAUCAGAGUCCCUGCCACAGCCCUAGGCCAAGGAGGUCAGGGACUGUGGACCGAAACCUUCAUGGUGAGGGUUAAAAUAAAUUCUUGCUCCGUUAAAGCUGUUUUUCUUAGAUAGUUGGCAGAAAGCAACUAAUACAGAUUAUGACAAGAUGGAGAAUAAAAGAAACUAAUGAUAAUGAUUAAUAAUAAUGGUAAUAAUAAUAAUAGACAUUUCACCCUUACCUGUUUCUCCUUCAUUGAUCUGGACUAUGUGACACAGUUUAGGGAACAGAAAUAUAAUUUACUACAGCCUGGCUAUAAAUCAUACUUUCAGUAGGAUUUUUGUGGCAUAUUCAUAUCGGGUCAUAGAUAUUCAUUUGGAAAUAAAGACAUGGAAAUUUAGAAGAGAAAACGAUGCCCAAUCAAUACAUGUUACAAUUAUAAAAACUUUAUUUCACUCUUGCUUUCAUUAAAUCUUUAUAAGCACCAUGUCAUAGACAGGCAACGUAGAAAGAGGACACCGGAGCGCUUCAGCUGAUAACAAACUGCAAGCCAAUGAGGAUGGGAAAUUCCAGCUAUGUGGGGCACGUAAAUGAAACCACACUUAGGAAGAUUCACUGGGGAAUCUCAUAAAAGCAGGCAAUGGGAGCCAGGCAUCGAUCUGUUCACACUGUCUGUCUGUUGUAGAAACCCAAAGCUUGUGCUUGCGAAGAUCAAAAGGAACACC